rnacentral:rRNA from 1 species
UUCAGAGGCCCCGAGCGUUAAUCGGAGUUACUGGGCUUAAAGGGAGCGUAGGCCGGCCCGCAAGUGCUUUGUGAAAUCCCACGGCUCAACCGUGGAAUAGCUUGGCAUACUGCGGGCCUUGAGGUCGGUAGAGGUCGCUGGAACUGUAGGUGUAGCGGUGAAAUGCGUAGAUAUCUACAGGAACGCCAAAGGUGAAGACAGGCGACUGGGCCGAUUCUGACGCCGAGGCACGAAAGCGUGGGGAGCAAACGGG